rnacentral:rRNA from 1 species
UAACGCGUGGGUAACCUGCCUCAUACAGGGGGAUAACAGUUAGAAAUGACUGCUAAUACCGCAUAAGCGCACAGGACCGCAUGGUCCGGUGUGAAAAACUCCGGUGGUAUGAGAUGGACCCGCGUCUGAUUAGUUAGUUGGCGGGGUAGCGGCCCACCAAGACGACGAUCAGUAGCCGACCUGAGAGGGUGACCGGCCACAUUGGGACUGAGACACGGCCCAAACUCCUACGGGAGGCAGCAGUGGGGAAUAUUGCACAAUGGGGGAAACCCUGAUGCAGCGACGCUGCGUGAGUGAAGAAGUAUUUCGGUAUGUAAAGCUCUAUCAGCAGGGAAGAAGUUGACGGUACCUGAGUAAGAAGCCCCGGCUAACUACGUGCCAGCAGCCGCGGUAAUACGUAGGGGGCAAGCGUUAUCCGGAUUUACUGGGUGUAAAGGGAGCGUAGACGGCAGUGCAAGUCUGAAGUGAAAGCCCCGGGCUUAACCCGGGAACUGCUUUGGAAACUGUACGGCUGGAGUGCUGGAGAGGUAAGCGGAAUUCCUAGUGUAGCGGUGAAAUGCGUAGAUAUUAGGAGGAACACCAGUGGCGAAGGCGGCUUACUGGACAGUAACUGACGUUGAGGCUCGAAAGCGUGGGGAGCAAACAGGAUUAGAUACCCUGGUAGU